UACGUAGGGACCAAGCGUUGUCCGGAUUUAUUGGGCGUAAAGCGCUCGUAGGCGGUUCGGUAAGUCAGGUGUGAAACCUCUGGGCUUAACCCAGAGCCUGCAUUUGAUACUGCUGUGACUUGAGUUCGGUAGGGGAGUGGGGAAUUCCUAGUGUAGCGGUGAAAUGCGCAGAUAUUAGGAGGAACACCGGUGGCGAAGGCGCCACUCUGGGCCGAAACUGACGCUGAGGAGCGAAAGCGUGGGUAGCAAACAGG
rnacentral:rRNA from 1 species